rnacentral:tRNA from 1 species
GCCUGGGUGGCUCAGUCGGUUGAGCGUCUGAAUCCGGCUCAGGUCAUGAUCUCCUGGUUCGUGGGUUCGAGCCCCGUGUCAGGCU